CCUACGGGGCGCAGCAGUGGGGGAUAUUGCACAAUGGGGGGAACCCUGAUGCAGCGACGCCGCGUGGGUGAAGAAGCGCCUCGGCGCGUAAAGCCCUGUCAGCAGGGAAGAAAAUGACGGUACCUGAAGAAGAAGCCCCGGCUAACUACGUGCCAGCAGCCGCGGUAAUACGUAGGGGGCAAGCGUUAUCCGGAUUUACUGGGUGUAAAGGGGGCGCAGACGGCGAUGCAAGCCAGGAGUGAAAGCCCGGGGCCCAACCCCGGGACUGCUCUUGGAACUGCGUGGCGGGAGUGCAGGAGGGGCAGGCGGAAUUCCUGGUGUAGCGGUGGAAUGCGUAGAUAUCAGGAGGAACACCGGUGGCGAAGGCGGCCUGCUGGACUGCAACUGACGUUGAGGCCCGAAAGCGUGGGGAGCAAACAGGAUUAGAUACCCUUGUAGUC
rnacentral:rRNA from 1 species